UGAUUUAUCACUACAUGCCUUUUCUCCCUUCACCGAGUUAGCUGAAACCUUUGUGAAACGUGAAUGAAAAGACUAACAUGGCGAAAGAACACCGUACAUUCAAAUAGGAGUGCUCUUAUAUUGAGUGCUUCAACGAAAUUUCGUUUCUUAUCAAGAAAGGCUUUGUCCCAAACAUGAAGGUUGAAGGUAUUUUAGAUAUAUAAACAAGCUGCUCAAAAAACUAAUGUCUGAUGAGCUGAAGCACUGGGCUGGAACUCAAGAGAUCAGUUGGACUACCAGAUGUUCAUUCUGGCUGUGGAUUUGCUAUUGCUAUUGUUCCACCCCGUUUUAGUAAUGAGUUUAGAAAUCUCACCAUUGCACCCUAAAGCUCCAUUCCUUUGAUGCACUGUGAUCUGUGUGAUCUUGGACCACAAAUCCUAAUCCACAUCCUCCCAAAGGAACACACAAUUUAACUCCACAUUUACAAAAAAGUGUUAUUUGAGAGGUGAUCCACAAGUAUCAGUCAGCUGGACCAAGGAUGGAGUGCUACUUAGUAAAAACAACAGCCUGGUUAUUAGACAAGUGACAUUUAAAGAUAAGGGCAAUUAUGAAUGUACUGCUAAAUAUGAUUAUGGCAAAGCAAACUCUUCCUUCCGAAUGGAUAUCAGAGGUAAACUCUAUAUUGUAGUUUAUGUCAGUCAUCAAACUUGUAACUUAACGAAGCAUUUGUUUUGAAGUUAAAGCCAAAUUUAAAGAGACCUAUUUUUUUCUCUCUUUUCAUCCAUAUCAUUUAAAAAUAUCAAUGACCAAGGAACU